rnacentral:rRNA from 1 species
CGGACGGGUGAGUAAUGUCUGGGAAACUGCCUGAUGGAGGGGGAUAACUACUGGAAACGGUAGCUAAUACCGCAUAACGUCGCAAGACCAAAGAGGGGGACCUUCGGGCCUCUUGCCAUCGGAUGUGCCCAGAUGGGAUUAGCUAGUAGGUGGGGUAAAGGCUCACCUAGGCGACGAUCCCUAGCUGGUCUGAGAGGAUGACCAGCCACACUGGAACUGAGACACGGUCCAG